AAGUCGUAACAAGGUUUCCGUAGGUGAACCUGCGGAAGGAUCAUUAAUGAAAUUAUGACUGGGGUUGUAGCUGGCCUAUAAAACGGCAUGUGCACGCUCCUUUCACAAUCCACACACACCUGUGCACCUUCGCGGGGGUCUUUUUUUCUCUUCGGGGGAAUAAAGGCUCGCGUCCCUUUACACACCCUUUGUAUGUCCUAAGAAUGUCUACUCGAUGUAAUAAAACGCAUCUAAUACAACUUUCAACAACGGAUCUCUUGGCUCUC
rnacentral:misc_RNA from 1 species